rnacentral:rRNA from 1 species
AUUGAACGCUGGCGGCAGGCUUAACACAUGCAAGUCGAACGGUAGCAGGAGAAAGCUUGCUUUCUUGCUGACGAGUGGCGGACGGGUGAGUAAUGCUUGGGAAUCUGGCUUAUGGAGGGGGAUAACGACGGGAAACUGUCGCUAAUACCGCGUAUUAUCGGAAGAUGAAAGUGCGGGACUGAGAGGCCGCAUGCCAUAGGAUGAGCCCAAGUGGGAUUAGGUAGUUGGUGGGGUAAAUGCCUACCAAGCCUGCGAUCUCUAGCUGGUCUGAGAGGAUGACCAGCCACACUGGAACUGAGACACGGUCCAGACUCCUACGGGAGGCAGCAGUGGGGAAUAUUGCGCAAUGGGGGGAACCCUGACGCAGCCAUGCCGCGUGAAUGAAGAAGGCCUUCGGGUUGUAAAGUUCCUUCGGUAUUGAGGAAGGUUGAUGUGUUAAUAGCACAUCAAAUUGACGUUAAAUACAGAAGAAGCACCGGCUAACUCCGUGCCAGCAGCCGCGGUAAUACGGAGGGUGCGAGCGUUAAUCGGAAUAACUGGGCGUAAAGGGCACGCAGGCGGUUAUUUAAGUGAGGUGUGAAAGCCCUGGGCUUAACCUAGGAAUUGCAUUUCAGACUGGGUAACUAGAGUACUUUAGGGAGGGGUAGAAUUCCACGUGUAGCGGUGAAAUGCGUAGAGAUGUGGAGGAAUACCGAAGGCGAAGGCAGCCCCUUGGGAAUGUACUGACGCUCAUGUGCGAAAGCGUGGGGAGCAAACAGG